UCUGCUGGAAUGGGGAGGAAGGGGACAGAGCACCCUAUUCGUGCUGAUUGUACCACCCUGUCAGUGUCCAAGGUCAGUGGACCACUCAAUUGCCCUAACUUGCUGCUAUACGGUAAAUAUCACCCCUGAAAUACAAAUUGUGGAAAAGCAGUGCUAAAGAUGAGCCACUGCAACUCUGCAUAAUAAACAGUUACUGGAACUUCCUGAUAGAUGCCUUACACCUCGAAAUCUGGUUCUUCUAGAUGCUCCACACUCCCCUACUUCCAGCUAUUUCUUACCCAGAGUUCAUUCAACACAUCUCAUUCUGUUGCAAGAAGCAGGGGAGCCACAAAGGCAUGGAGUGGGACAUUGCAGACAACAGAUAUACCUAAAAGGAUCUACAAGGAGUCUUCAGAUAAACAAAGGAGCUUUCUUUUGUCUGCCAACAAUCAACAAAUAUUUAUUAUGCAACUAAUUUUCUUCCAAAUGUCUCUUGUGGAGCAGGUUUAAGGGAGUCCGCCCAAUGGUUUUAGCCAUUGUGAAGAGAGGAGUUUUGAAGUCCAAAUGCAACUAAUACUCAGGAUAAAACCGACUUGUGAACAGCAAAUCAUGGCAACCGGGCUGAAAUUCGAGUCCAUGUAUGCAAAUAUGAAAAUCCUGGGGUUGUAGUAAUGAUUUGGUAAAAUAACAGCACUCUUCAAAGUUUCUGGAAAAUUCUACAUAAUGCGAUUCCACGAGUAGUUUCAUCUAGACAG